rnacentral:lncRNA from 1 species
AUGUUUCUAGAAAUCGCACAUGCGGAUCAAUCGACGCAUGUGCGAAACCGCAUAUGCGGUUCUAGUUCCGCGUCUGCGGUUCAAAGACAAGGGCUCAAACAUCGAGAUGUUUCUCUAUAUAUUUCAAUAUUAAACACGAUUUUGGCACCUAAUUUGUUCUCAAGACUUCUAAAUUCGUGCAGUACAUAAAACUCUGAUUCUAAUGCAGCUGAC